AAUCUGGGGGUGAUAUGUGUAUGAGCCCAUUUUUCCCGGGCCCAGUGCCAAAACAAAAACAAAAAAUAAUAACAGCCCAAUUCAAACCCAACAGGCUCACAAAAUUAAAAGACACUAGCCCUCAAAUCCAGCAGGUUUUAGCCAAGGAGAAACCCUAGGUGCGCCGCACUUAGGUCUUCAGCCUCCAGCGUCGCUCCACCUGCGCCACACCCCACCGUCGCCGCUCGUCAAUCGCCAGCCUGACACCUGCAAAC
rnacentral:lncRNA from 1 species